GGUGGGGUAAAGGCCCUUACCAAGGGGAACGAUCCGUAAACUGGUUUGAGAGGACGACCAGCCACCCCUGGGAAUGAAAACCGGGCCAGAACUCCUACGGGAGCCAGCAGUGGGGAAUUUUGGACCAUGGGGGCAACCCUUGAUCCAGCCCAUUCCCCGCGUGUGCGAUGAAGGCCUUCGGGUUGUAAAGCACUUUUGGCAGGGAAGAAACAGUUCGGGUUAAUAACCUGGACGACUGACGGUACCUGCAGAAUAAGCACCGGCUAACUACGUGCCAGCAGCCGCGGUAAUACGUAGGGUGCAAGCGUUAAUCGGAAUUACUGGGCGUAAAGCGUGCGCAGGCGGUUCGGAAAAAAAGGUGUGAAAUCCCAGGGCUUAACCUUGGAACUGCACUUUUAACUCCCGAGCUAGAGUACGUCAGAGGGGGGUAGAAUUCCACGUGUAGCAGUGAAAUGCGUAGAGAUGUGGAGGAAUACCGAUGGCGAAGGCAGCCCCCUGGGAUGAUACUGACGCUCAUGCACGAAAGCGUGGGGAGCAAACAGGAUUAGAUACCCUGGUAGUC
rnacentral:rRNA from 1 species